rnacentral:rRNA from 1 species
CCUACGGGCGGCUGCAGUGGGGAAUAUUGGACAAUGGGGGGAACCCUGAUCCAGCCAUGUCGCGUGUGUGAAGAAGGCCCUCGGGUUGUAAAGCACUUUCAGUGAGGAAGAACGCCUGGUGGUUAAUACCCAUCAGGAAAGACAUCACUCACAGAAGAAGCACCGGCUAACUCCGUGCCAGCAGCCGCGGUAAUACGGAGGGUGCGAGCGUUAAUCGGAAUUACUGGGCGUAAAGCGCGCGUAGGUGGCUUGAUAAGCCGGUUGUGAAAGCCCCGGGCUCAACCUGGGAACGGCAUCCGGAACUGUCAAGCUAGAGUGCAGGAGAGGAAGGUAGAAUUCCCGGUGUAGCGGUGAAAUGCGUAGAGAUCGGGAGGAAUACCAGUGGCGAAGGCGGCCUUCUGGACUGACACUGACACUGAGGUGCGAAAGCGUGGGUAGCAAACAGGAUUAGAUACCCCUGUAGUC